GAUGAAGAACGUAGCGAAAUGCGAUACUUGGCGUGAAUUGCAGAAUCCCGUGAACCAUCGAGUCUUUGAACGCAAGUUGCGCCCGAAGCCAUUAGGCCGAGGGCACGCCUGCCUGGGCGUCACACGUCGUUGCCCCCCCAUCUACUCCUUCGGGAUUGCGGGGGGCGGAUGAUGGCCUCCCGUGCGCCUCGUCGCGCGGUUGGCAUAAAUGCCAAGUCCUCGGCGACGCACGCCACGACAAUCGGUGGUUGCGAAACCUCGGUUGCCCGUCGUGUGCGGUCGUCGCGCAUCGAGGGCUCGAAAAAAUUGCCGGGCUCCGGCUCGGCUUUCAACGCGACCCCAGGUCAGGCGGGGUUACCCGCUGAAUUUAAGCAUAUCAAUAAGCGGAGGA
rnacentral:misc_RNA from 1 species